UUAACCCCGNGAGGGGAUGGAAACUGCUGAUCUAGAGUAUNGGAGAGGAAAGUGGAAUUCCUAGUGUAGCGGUGAAAUGCGUAGAUAUUAGGAAGAACACCAGUGGCGAAGGCGACUUUCUGGACGAAAACUGACGCUGAGGCGCGAAAGCCAGGGGAGCGAACGGGAUUAGAUACCCCGGUAGUCCUGGCCGUAAACGAUGGGUACUAGGUGUAGGAGGUAUCGACCCCUUCUGUGCCGGAGUUAACGCAAUAAGUACCCCGCCUGGGGAGUACGACCGCAAGGUUGAAACUCAAAGGAAUUGACGGGGGCCCGCACAAGCGGUGGAGUAUGUGGUUUAAUUCGACGCAACGCGAAGAACCUUACCAGGUCUUGACAUUGAUGGACAGAACCAGAGAUGGUUCCUCUUCUUCGGAAGCCAGAAAACAGGUGGUGCACGGUUGUCGUCAGCUCGUGUCGUGAGAUGUUGGGUUAAGUCNNNNANNNNNCGCAACCCCUAUCUUAUGUUGCCAGCACGUGAUGGUGGGAACUCAUGAGAGACUGCCGCAGACAAUGCGGAGGAAGGCGGGGAUGACGUCAAAUCAUCAUGCCCCUUAUGACCAGGGCUACACACGUACUACAAUGGGAGUUAAUAGACGGAAGCGAGAUCGCGAGAUGGAGCAAACCCGAGAAACACUCUCUCAGUUCGGAUCGUAGGCUGCAACUCG
rnacentral:rRNA from 1 species